rnacentral:sRNA from 1 species
UCUCGUCCUUUGUGAGAGACUUGCUUGA